GCGGGCAUGGUGUAGCGGUAACACAUCAGCCUUCCAAGCUGCUAUCGCGGGUUCGAUUCCCGCUGCCCGCU
rnacentral:tRNA from 1 species